CACCCUUGUCUUUUGCGCACUUGUUGUUUCCUGGGCGGGUUCGCCCGCCACCAGGACCACACCAUAAACCUUUUUUAUGCAGUUGCAAUCAGCGUCAGUAUAACAAAUGUAAAUCAUUUACAACUUUCAACAACGGAUCUCUUGGUUCUGGCAUCGAUGAAGAACGCAGCGAAAUGCGAUACGUAGUGUGAAUUGCAGAAUUCAGUGAAUCAUCGAAUCUUUGAACGCACAUUGCGCCCUUUGGUAUUCCAAAGGGCAUGCCUGUUCGAGCGUCAUUUGUACCCUCAAGCUUUGCUUGGUGUUGGGCGUCUUUUGUCUUUGGCCUCGCCCAAAGACUCGCCUUAAAACGAUUGGCAGCCGGCCUACUGGUUUCGCAGCGCAGCACAUUUUUGCGCUUGCAAUCAGCAAAAAGGACGGCAAUCCAUCAAGACUACAUUUUUACGUUUGACCUCGGAUCAGGUAUUAAAGAUUGGGUGAA
rnacentral:rRNA from 1 species